UACGGGGGGGGCAAGCGUUGUUCGGAAUUACUGGGCGUAAAGGGCUCGUAGGCGGCCAACUAAGUCAGACGUGAAAUCCCUCGGCUUAACCGGGGAACUGCGUCUGAUACUGGAUGGCUUGAGUUUGGGAGAGGGAUGCGGAAUUCCAGGUGUAGCGGUGAAAUGCGUAGAUAUCUGGAGGAACACCGGUGGCGAAGGCGGAUCUCUGGGCCUUACCUGACGCUGAGGAGCGAAAGCGUGGGGAGCGAACAGG
rnacentral:rRNA from 1 species